GGGGGAUAUUGCACAAUGGAGGAAACUCUGAUGCAGCAACGCCGCGUGAGGGAAGAAGGUCUUCGGAUUGUAAACCUUUGUCCUUGGUGACGAAACAAAUGACGGUAGCCAAGGAGGAAGCUCCGGCUAACUACGUGCCAGCAGCCGCGGUAAUACGUAGGGAGCGAGCGUUGUCCGGAUUUACUGGGUGUAAAGGGUGCGUAGGCGGCUCUGCAAGUCAGGUGUGAAAACCAUCGGCUUAACUGAUGGACUGCAUUUGAAACUGUGGGGCUUGAGUGAAGUAGAGGUAGGCGGAAUUCCCGGUGUAGCGGUGAAAUGCGUAGAGAUCGGGAGGAACACCAGUGGCGAAGGCGGCCUACUGGGCUUUAACUGACGCUGAAGCACGAAAGCAUGGGUAGCAAAC
rnacentral:rRNA from 1 species